rnacentral:rRNA from 1 species
UACAGAGGGUGCAAGCGUUGUUCGGAAUUACUGGGCGUAAAGCGUGCGUAGUCGGUAUUGAGAGUCACGGGUGAAAUCCCAAGGCUUAACCUUGGAACUGCCUGUGAGACCUCAGUACUAGAGUGUGAGAGGGGAUAGUGGAAUACCCCAGUGUAGCGGUGAAAAUGCGUAGAGAUUGGGGUGGAACACCGGUGGCGAAGGCGGCUAUCUGGCUCACAAACUGACGU